GAUGAACGCUGGCGGCGUGCCUAAUACAUGCAAGUCGAGCGAACGGACGAGAAGCUUGCUUCUCUGAUGUUAGCGGCGGACGGGUGAGUAACACGUGGAUAACCUACCUAUAAGACUGGGAUAACUUCGGGAAACCGGAGCUAAUACCGGAUGAUAUUUUGAACCGCAUGGUUCAAAAGUGAAAGACGGUCUUUCUGUCACUUAUAGAUGUAUCCGCGCUGCAUUAGCUAGUUGGUAAGGUAACGGCUUACCAAGGCAACGAUGCAUAGCCGACCGGAGAGGGGGAUCGGCCACACUGGAACUGAGACACGGUCCAGACUCCUACGGGAGGCAGCAGUAGGGAAUCUGCCGCAAUGGGCGAAAGCAUGACGGAGCAGCGCCGCGUGAGUGAUGAAGGUCUUCGGAUCGUAAAACUCUGUUAUUAGGGAAGAACAUAUGUGUAAGUAACAGUGCACAUCUUGACGGUACCUAAUCAGAAAGCCCCGGCUAACUACGUG
rnacentral:rRNA from 1 species